GGGCAGGGUCGCCCUUUACCCAAGGUGCCCUAGGGCAGGGUGAUGGGCACGUUACCCAUGGUGCCCUGGGGCAGGGUCGCCCUUUACCCAAGGUGCCCUAGGGCGGGGUGAUGGACACGUUACCCAUGGUGCCCUGGGGCAGGGUCGCCCUGUACCAAAGGUGCCCUAGGGCGGGGUGAUGGGCACGUUACCCAUGGUGCCCUGGGGCAGGGUCGCCCUUUACCCAAGGUGCCCUAGGGCGGGGUGAUGGGCACGUUACCCAUGGUGCCCUGGGGCAGGGUCGCCCUUUACCCAAGGUGCCCUAGGGCGGGGUGAUGGGCACGUUACCCAUGGUGCCCUAGGCCCGCCCUCAUGCCAGUUGCCAUCACCCCUGGGCGGCCUCGCGCGGGGCGGCCAGGCCGUUGCCAUGGUUACCUAUGGGCCGCGGUGUAGCCGGGCCCCCUGCGGCCCGGCGGCUGGAGGUGCUGGUCCACCGCCGUGACCCGCUCCCCGAGCAGCGCGUCCACAUCGAAGGGGAACUCCAUAGCCCGCCAGCAUCCGGGUCCUGCUGCUCGCCCCCUGCCCCGCCCU